rnacentral:rRNA from 1 species
GUCUUCUUGUUAUAUUUAGGAAGUCUGGCCUGCCCAGUGAAAAUAAUUUAACGGCCGCGGUAUACUGACCGUGCAAAGGUAGCAUAAUCAUUAGUCUUUUAAUAGAGGGCUGGUAUGAAGGGUUUAACGAGGUGUUGACUGUCUCAUUUAAUUUGAAUUUAGAACUUAAUUUUUUAGUUAAAAAGCUAAAAUUUUAUUGGAAGACGAGAAGACCCUAUAGAGCUUUAUAUUUUUAUUAUUAAUUUAUUAUAGAUUAUUAUUAUUUAUUAUUGGUAUAAAAUAUUUUGUUGGGGUGACAAAAAUAUAUAAAUAACUUUUUUAUUUCAUUUACAUUGCUAUAUGAAUAUUAGAUCCAAUCUUAUUGAUUGUUAGAUUAAGUUACCUUAGGGAUAACAGCGUAAUCCCUCUCCAGAGUUCAUAUUUACAGAGGGGCUUGCGACCUCGAUGUUGGAUUAAGAUAAUAAUUAGGUGUAGCCGCUUAAUUAAUAGGUCUGUUCGACCUUUAAAUUCUU